rnacentral:rRNA from 1 species
UACAGAGGUCUCAAGCGUUGUUCGGAUUCAUUGGGCGUAAAGGGUGCGUAGGUGGCGCCGUAAGUCAGGUGUGAAAUUUCGAGGCUUAACCUCGAAACUGCAUUUGAUACUGCGGUGCUUGAGGACUGGAGAGGAGACUGGAAUUCAUGGUGUAGCAGUGAAAUGCGUAGAUAUCGGGAGGAACACCUGUGGCGAAAGCGGCGCACUGGACCAUAACUGACGCUGAUGCGCGAAAGCUAGGGGAGCAAACAGG